rnacentral:rRNA from 1 species
ACUCCUACGGGAGGCAGCAGGCGCGAAAACUUUACAAUGCUGGCAACAGCGAUAAGGGAACCUCGAGUGCCAGGUUACAAAUCUGGCUGUCGAGAUGCCUAAAAAGCAUUUCAUAGCAAGGGCCGGGCAAGACCGGUGCCAGCCGCCGCGGUAACACCGGCGGCUCGAGUGGUAACCGUUAUUAUUGGGUCUAAAGGGUCUGUAGCCGGCCGGAUAAGUCUCUUGAGAAAUCUGGCAGCUUAACUGUCAGGCUUUCAGGAGAUACUGUCUGGCUCGAGGCCGGGAGAGGUGAGAGGUACUUCAGGGGUAGGGGUGAAAUCUUGUAAUCCUUGAAGGACCACCAGUGGCGAAGGCGUCUCACCAGAACGGACCUGACGGCAAGGGACGAAAGCUAGGGGCACGAACCGGAUUAGAUACCCGGGUAGUCCUAGCCGUAAACGAUACUCGCUAGGUGUCGGCCACGGUGCGACCGUUGUCGGUGCCGUAGGGAAGCCGUGAAGCGAGCCACCUGGGAAGUACGGCCGCAAGGCUGAAACUUAAAGGAAUUGACGG